AAAACACCUUUUUGAGGAGAGUUAUAAAGACGGCGUACCGAGAUGGGGGAAACGGAUAUAGACAGAGCUUCUGUCUCUUUUCUUCCUCCUCUCGCAAGCGGCUCUCGAGCAGGCGGCCCCCGAAUGGGGCAACAGUUGGAGUCAUCCUGCACGCCGGUAGUGAUUUUUCAGGUGGAAGAGUGCGAGAGGCUUCUGGCAGCAACAUUAAGCCCGUUUUUAGGCCACCUUCCUGGUUGCCCGCCCUCGGGGAGGGGUGUUUUCUUUUUGUUCUAAAAAGGGCAUGGCUUACGGGCCCGUUUAUGGCCGAGCUGUGGGUCGGCGGCGGUCGCUUGCGACACGUGCUGUGCCAGCAGUUCGGUCCUGGUCGAGCUCCCACAUUGCCUAUUCUCGGUGUAAGAGCUGGUCAUCUCUCCGACCCGUCUUGAAACACGGACCAAGGAGUUUAUCGUGUGCGCGAGUCAUUGGGCGUUGAAAACCCAAAGGCGCAAUGAAAGUGAAGUGCCACGCAAGUGGCUGAUGUGCGAUGUUGUGUUCCACGGAACACGACCGCAGCAUGGCCCCAUCCUGGCUGCUUGCAGCGGGGUGGAGGAAGAGCGUGCGCGAUGAGACCCGAAAGAUGGUGAACUAUUCCUGAGCAGGAUGAAGCCAGAGGAAACUCUGGUGGAAGUCCGAAGCGAUUCUGACGUGCAAAUCGAUCGUC
rnacentral:rRNA from 1 species